rnacentral:SRP_RNA from 1 species
ACGUGCUAGACGGGGAGCUAGCGGUGCCCUGUAACCCGGAAUCCGCUAUACCGGGGUUGAAUUCCCACCCGAGGGUUUAGCGGUUCGGGUUCAUCGACGGAUAAGUGGUGUCGAUGGUUGGGUCCCGUACAACAUCAGCCUUUUGGACCCGGUCAGGACCUGACGGUAGCAGCCGCAGAAAGUCUCUGAUGUGUGUUGCGGGAGCGCCCGGCCUGAGCUAACUGUCCGAAGAGUUCCCGAGACGCGGCUCAGAGGUGGGUGCACAA